rnacentral:rRNA from 1 species
CUAUAACGGUCCUAAGGUAGCGAAAUUCCUUGUCGGGUAAGUUCCGACCCGCACGAAAGGCGUAACGAUUUGGGCACUGUCUCAACAACAGACUCGGUGAAAUUGUAAUUCCGGUGAAGAUGCCGGAUACCUGCGACAGGACGGAAAGACCCCAUGGAGCUUUACUGUAGCUUGACAUUGGGUCUUGGUACUACAUGUACAGGAUAGGUGGGAGGCGUUGAAACCAGGACGACAGUUUUGGCGGAGCCAUCCUUGGGAUACCACCCUUGUAGUACUGGGACUCUAACCAUAGGCCAUGAAUCUGGUCU